UAGGGAAUCUUCCGCAAUGGACGCAAGUCUGACGGAGCAACGCCGCGUGAGUGAAGAAGGAUUUAGGUUCGUAAAACUCUGUUGUUAGAGAAGAACAGCGCAUAGAGUAACUGUUAUGCGUGUGACGGUAUCUAACCAGAAAGCCACGGCUAACUACGUGCCAGCAGCCGCGGUAAUACGUAGGUGGCAAGCGUUGUCCGGAUUUAUUGGGCGUAAAGCGAGCGCAGGCGGUCAAUUAAGUCUGAUGUGAAAGCCCCCGGCUCAACCGGGGAGGGUCAUUGGAAACUGGUUGACUUGAGUGCAGAAGAGGAGAGUGGAAUUCCAUGUGUAGCGGUGAAAUGCGUAGAUAUAUGGAGGAACACCAGUGGCGAAGGCGACUCUCUGGUCUGUAACUGACGCUGAGGUUCGAAAGCGUGGGUAGCAAACAGG
rnacentral:rRNA from 1 species